rnacentral:rRNA from 1 species
GACGUACCACCCAAACGUUAUUCGGAUUCACUGGGCUUACAGAGUCCGUAGGCGGUCGAGCAAGUUGGAUGUGAAAUACCUCAGCUCAACUGAGGAAUUGCGUUCAAAACUACUUGGCUAGAGAGAUACAGAGGUGAGCGGAACUGAUGGUGGAGCGGUGAAAUGCUUAGAUAUCGUCAAGAACACCGAUAGCGAAGGCAGCUUACUAGGCUGUAACUGACGCUGAGGCACGAAAGUGUGGGGAUCAAACAGG